GACGAACGCUGGCGGCGUGCUUAACACAUGCAAGUCGAACGGAAAGGCCCUGCUUUUGUGGGGUGCUCGAGUGGCGAACGGGUGAGUAACACGUGAGUAACCUGCCCUUGACUUUGGGAUAACUUCAGGAAACUGGGGCUAAUACCGGAUAGGAGCUCCUGCUGCAUGGUGGGGGUUGGAAAGUUUCGGCGGUUGGGGAUUGACUCGCGGCUUAUCCGCUUGUUGGUGGGGUAGUGGCUUACCAAGGCUUUGACGGGUAGCCGGCCUGAGAGGGUGACCGGCCACAUUGGGACUGAGAUACGGCCCAGACUCCUACGGGAGGCAGCAGUGGGGAAUAUUGCACAAUGGGCGGAAGCCUGAUGCAGCAACGCCGCGUGCGGGAUGACGGCCUUCGGGUUGUAAACCGCUUUCGCCUGUGACGAAGCGUGAGUGACGGUAAUGGGUAAAGAAGCACCGGCUAACUACGUG
rnacentral:rRNA from 1 species